rnacentral:rRNA from 1 species
UACAGAGGCGGCAAGCGUUGUUCGGAAUUAUUGGGCGUAAAGAGCACGUAGGCGGCCUUGUAAGUCAGUUGUGAAAGCCUUCCGCUUAACGGAAGAACAGCAUCUGAUACUGCAAGGCUAGAGUGCGGAAGGGGAGAGUGGAACUUCUGGUGGAGCGGUGAAAUGCGUAGAUAUCAGAAGGAACACCGGCGGCGAAGGCGACUCUCUGGUCCGUAACUGACGCUGAGUGUGCGAAAGCUAGGGGAGCAAAC